AGGAGCUGUCCCAAAUUGCACAGCUGUUUGCUGAGUGACGCUCUUGCAGCACUUCACAGGCUGGUGUGCCCAGCUGUGCCUGCAUCCAGAGGAGGAGGCUGUGAGAGUAGCGUGUAGGAUACGGAGCAAGGGAGACUCGUCCUGAGGGCCCACUGGGGCCAGAGCCUCUGAGACAAGGAGGACGUAGCAGUUGAAACUGUCCUGUCAGACCUGAUGGCACCACUGCAGCCCAGACAUCUCCUCAGAGAGCUACCAUCAGUGUAAAGGUGAAGAAGAAGAAAAAAGAGCAUUGAUAUGUGUGAAGUGCAAAAAGUCUAAAGACUUUUUGCAAAGGGUCCGAGCCACUUCCUUUGUGUCUGUUCUUCAGAAUGAAGGUGAAGAGAAGGCACUGCCACGGCACUUAGGAGACUGAGAAGCAUCUGGCAUACUCUGUGCUGUGCAUGGUCAUCUCUGAACACCUUGCAGGGCUGUCUGAGGGGCCAGCACAACCUGGUGUUCUCUGCAGAUGUGGCGUACCAUGGCCAAAGCCAGAGAACUCAUUGUGAGGACGUCACUAGUCAUGGAGGAUACUAGGGAUGGGUUUUCACCUUCCAGCAGAACAAGCUUCCCAGACACAUAGCUCUGUAUCUCUUUGUGCUUGUUACACCUUCCAGAGGAGUUGUUUGUACUGUACUGAUACUGUUUAUAUUGAAUAAAUCCU
rnacentral:lncRNA from 1 species